CCCCAUGUGAGGCGGGACUACCCGCUGAAUUUAA
rnacentral:rRNA from 1 species